rnacentral:rRNA from 1 species
CGGUAAUUCCAGCUCCAAUAGCGUAUACUAAAGUUGUUGCAGUUAAAAAGCUCGUAGUUGGAUUUCUGCGGGGACGGAGCGGCCGGUCGCAACUUGCGACUCGAGCUAGCGCUUUCCCCGCAUCCUGCCGCGAACCGUGCUACCAUUAGCUUGGUGGCGCUGGGGAUCGGCUCGAUUACUUUGAGAAAAAUAGAGUGUUCAAAGCAGGCCACACGCCUUGAAUAAGUUAGCAUGGAAUAAUGACUAAGGACUUCGGUUCUAUUUUGUUGGUGUUCGGGACUGAAGUAAUGAUUGAUAGGGACAGUUGGGGCGGUCUGUAUUCCAAAGCGAGAGGUGAAAUUCUUAGACCUUCGGAAGACAAACAGCUGCGAAAGCGUUCCGCAAGGAUGUUCCCUUUGAUCAAGAACGAAAGUUGGGGGAUCGAAGACGAUCAGAUACCGUCGUAGUCUCAACUAUAAACUAUACCAGCUAGGGAUCGGUCAACGUUUAAUCAUUCGACUUGAUCGGCACCUUAUGAGAAAUCAAAGCAUCUGGGUUCCGGGGGGAGUAUGGUCGCAAGGCUGAAACUUAAAGGAAUUGACGGAAGGGCACCACCAGCCGUGGAGCCUGUGGCUUAAUUUGACUCAACACGGGAAAACUUACCAGGUCCAGACAUAGUAAGGAUUGACAGAUUGAUAGCUCUUUCUUGAUUCUGUGGGUGGUGGUGCAUGGCCGUUCUUAGUUGGUGGAGUGAUUUGUCUGGUUAAUUCCGUUAACGAACGAGACCCCAGCCUGCUAAAUAGCGCGGCUGAGCUUUGCUCGGUGCGAGCUUCUUAGAGGGACUAUGAUGCGCGAUAGCACAUGGAAGUUUGGGGCAAUAACAGGUCUGUGAUGCCCUUAGAUGUUCUGGGCCGCACACGGGCUACACUGGCGCCUGCAACGAGCAUAUCAGCUGGCCCGAGAGGGUCUUGGCUAAUCUUUUGAACCGGCGCCGUGCUUGGGAUUGACCAUUGCAAUUGUUGGUUAUGCAACGAGGAAUGCCUUGUAAACGCGAGUCAUCAGCUCGCAUUGAAUACGUCCCUGCCCCUUGUACACACCGCCC